AACGAACGCUGGCGGCAGGCUUAACACAUGCAAGUCGAACGGGUGUAGCAAUACAUCAGUGGCAGACGGGUGAGUAACACGUGGGAACCCUCCUAGAGGUACGGAACAACUCAGGGAAACUUGAGCUAAUACCGUAUACGCUCGUGAGAGGAAAGAUUUAUCGCCUUUAGACGGGCCCGCGUCGGAUUAGCUAGUUGGUGAGGUAACGGCUCACCAAGGCGACGAUCCGUAGCUGAUAUGAGAGGAUGAUCAGCCACACUGGAACUGAGACACGGUCCAGACUCCUACGGGAGGCAGCAGUGGGGAAUCUUGGACAAUGGGCGCAAGCCUGAUCCAGCCAUGCCGCGUGAGUGAAGAAGGCCUUCGGGUUGUAAAGCUCUUUUGUCAGGGACGAUAAUGACGGUACCUGAAGAAUAAGCCCCGGCAAACUUCGUGCCAGCAGCCGCCGUAA
rnacentral:rRNA from 1 species